rnacentral:rRNA from 1 species
CCUACGGGGGGCUGCAGGCGCGAAAACUUUACAAUGCCGGCAACGGCGAUAAGGGGACCUCGAGUGCCAGGUUACAAAUCUGGCUGUCGUGAUGCCUAAAAAGCAUUGCAUAGCAAGGGCCGGGCAAGACCGGUGCCAGCCGCCGCGGUAACACCGGCGGCUCGAGUGGUAACCGUUAUUAUUGGGUCUAAAGGGUCUGUAGCCGGCCGGAUAAGUCUCUUGGGAAAUCCAGCAGCUUAACUGUUGGGCUUUCAGGAGAUACUGUCUGGCUCGAGGCCGGGAGAGGUGAGAGGUACUUCAGGGGUAGGGGUGAAAUCUUGUAAUCCUUGAAGGACCACCAGUGGCGAAGGCGUCUCACCAGAACGGACCUGACGGCAAGGGACGAAAGCUAGGGGCACGAACCGGAUUAGACACCCGAGUAGUC